UUUAAAUUUGAGUUUAUUUUAUUUCCUUUGUUUUUAUGAAUUUGAAUAUUUAAAUAGUCAAAAUAUAUAACAUCAAAUCCCUUGGAAAAUAGUAAAUAACAGAAUCAUAUACAAGAGGAAAACCCACCAAUGUGAAAAAUCAAUUCCACUGAAAUAAAAUAAAAGAAAAAACAAUUAACUAUGUAUAAACUGGGUUGAAAGACCCUACAGCAACUCUAAACCCACAAGAGUUCGAUUCCGUGUUACUGUACUCAUUGCACUUGGUCCCACAACCACACACGAUUAAGUCAUUCUUCACCAUCCGAUCAUCUUCUACAGCUUCCUUCAUCACAUCCUGACCCUCCAUCACAUCAUCAUCUCGUUGAUUCGCAUUCUCUUCACAAUCAAAUUCUUCAAUUCCAUCCAUGUCGUCUUCAUCUCCUGCAUGCUCGAGAACUUCGUAGUCUACAACGACUAAGUUCAAUACAAGACGCCCAUUUGCCCUAUGAGCUUCAAAAUAUUCUUGGCUCUUCAGUUUUUGUUCCUUGAUUACUACUCUUCCAUCGAGUGCAAUAUUUUUUCGUCGCCCAUGGCGAAAUCGGUGGAGGGUACUCCUUUUUUUCCUUCUUCAUCACCCUCCGCUGUCUUCCUCCGCCUCCAUUAUCCGCCGCCGGCAUGAGAUCAUUAAAAUCCACCACAAACUCAAAACAACUCUCCGCCCCAACAUAAUCACCCGAAGUUGAGUUCCAGUUCUGCAUGGAGGAGAGUUUUAUAAAAAAAAUAUAAUGGGUUUUCAAGAGAAAAUUUCUGAAUUUUG
rnacentral:lncRNA from 1 species